GAGAUUGAAAGAGAGGAAUGAUUAAUUCCCGAAUUGAAUAAUUACAUGGACCUUUUAUGACACUGGCUUAAGACACCGGCUGAGACUUCUUCGGAUCCCAUUCCGAGUGUUCGUACAGCCGUUACCCAGACACAGCCAGCAUUAAACGAUCACCAACACAAAGUUAAGGGGAGUCAGGUAGUAAGCAGCAGCAGCAACAGCAGCGGCACAUUGAAUCUCCCCUGUUCUUCAACGCCACCGAAGAAACAUGGGAAGGUAGUAUCCACGGUGAUUCCCAAUCGCGGAUGCGAGACGUCGCGACGACAACGACGACAAGGACAAGGAGAACUACGACGACAUCCUGUCCCUUGAAUUGAAAGGACGGGCAUUCGGUGAAGCGAUAUCGGGCUGUGUGAAUUGUAAAUACACGGACGAGAUGAGACAAACACCGAGGAGACCACGCACGAAGGCAUCGUGAAUGAAAUUUCAACCCUUGAAUCACUGGCCUCUUCUACCUGGAAUGCAUGUAUUGUCUUCGAAGCUGAAUAUUAAUUAGGAGUUAAGGAAUAAAUUUUCUAAUUAUUCAUUAACAGAGCUCGGCUAUGAUUAUUUUACAAUUGUGAAUAGAAUGACCAUUGGUCAAGAAUGAAAUUUUUUGAUAUCUCGACAGACGGUACCCCAAAAAGUAUGCCAUUCCUAGCACAGACCAGAUAAUCCCGAAGAACAAUAUCUGCCAGCAUCCCAAACAGCCGGCGUAUUUUUGCGUGCCAGAAGGUAGUUCCAGCCCGAAGGAUGAAAAAGAGACGGAAGUUCGAGGAUGAGGAAGAAGAAACGAAGGAUCGACGGGGGGGUAUCGGAGAUGAGAGUGGCCGGUCGAUCGGCGGCUUCGAGAGCCAGAUGCAAGAUUUACAGACGGAACGGAAGGAAGCACUUUUGUGUUUA